GUCCUGUGCUCUUCCGGAAGGUUGGUCCGCGGAGUGAGAUCCGUCCCCGGCCAACAUUGAAGAUACCGAGUGAUGUCGUGCCCGGGCUUAGCAUGACAUCCACCUUGACGACGUGUUGUAAAUCAUCGCGUAUGUUUUCCGCUGCCAGAAACUAUAGCUUUAACAAUUUGUAGUGUGUUAUCUAAGUUUGAAACUUCGUACUGCUUUUAGAAACUCUUGUAUGUAAUUCCUUAUGGUGUAAAAUAUGAUGAUGACUGUAUCUCUGGACUCACCUUCGUGUGAGGUAACCUUAUUCGAUCCUGUAUCGGUGGUUUAUCGGGACGUUACCCGACAGGCCAAGGGAUUAUACCGUUUGAAGUAUGUUGGAGCCCUCUGGAGUGGACUUGCGUACUUGAACCGGUAUAAUUCAGGUUGGUUCUGGCACAGCUGGUAUCAGAGCUAUAAGGUUACCCUGGAGAUACAUUUUACCUUAAAAAUUCUUUCAGUAUAAAAGUUUGACCAACAAAAUGUUUGGCAAAACUACGUUGGAUUCGUUAAGGAUUGUGUUUAGUACGUAAAGCCCUAGGGUAAUGCUUAUGAGGAAAAUAGAGGUGGCUAUAGUAUAUAUAGAUAUAACUAGCAGCAUUACUUUCCUGUCAAAACUUAAAUUUAUGCACAACUCAACCUUAUAUUCUGUAACGACAUCUUUGAUGGUAAGGUAAGGAGGUAAGGAUCCUCAGCUAACUGAGGGAGCUUGGCCUUCCCGUCGGUGAUGCGAACCGAACGCUGUUUCUUAAGCAGUGGCCUACUUGAGAUGCUGCCAAUGUACCAACUUCGGUUGACUACAUUAGGAGUAUAUAGUUAGGUAAGGGGGUAUGAACAGCAACAUCCCCGCAUUUUGCGGUACCCCCGUGAAUACGUUAUCUUGAUAACGUAUGUUAACAUUGUCUGUACGGCGGUAAUGGUACAGAUGCUGUUUCUAUAGUGAACAGUAAUGAUUGGGGACGCUUUCAUGACAUGCUGGCAUGAAAGGUUCAGUAUAUACAUAUUGUGUUUUCUGCAGGAAUGCUAACCACGAUUCGAUAGGUUCUGAACGGUUAGGAUUAUCGACUAGAUAUUACAGGGAGAGACGUAUUUAUAUGAUGCCACCGAACAUAACCACGUAAGACCAAGAUUACUUGGCAGUUAUUUUCGUUUGUGAGGACGUGUAGAACGUGCAUACAUCAUGACAUCUUGGAUUGACCUGAUUGCCUUGUUUGUUACGUUGAUGUACUGAAAUAUGUACCCUGAGAUAGUUUCUGUUUGAUAAUUUUGAUACCUUCAUCAUGCAAUUGCGACAUGAUGAUAUUAUCUUGAAGAGUAGAUUCAAUGGAUAUGAGAUUCAGGCUACCUUGAGGAAUAAUCUCCAGAUUGAAUUUCCUCAUUUGAUAAUAGAGAGUUUCACUAAAGAUUUCUAUGGAUAAGCAAUGACAAUGUGCUUUGCGGCUAAGUGCAUCCGCAACCAGAUUAGCCUUGCCGGGAUGGUAGUGUACCUCAAGAUCGUAGUCCUUGAUCAGUUCUAACCAACGCCUUUGCCUCAUAUUUAAGUCGGCUUGAGUGAAGAUAUAUUUGAGGCUCUUAUGAUCAGUAUAAAUGUUGCACUUGGCGCGCAUAAAAUGAUGUCUCUAAUUCUUGAGAGCGUGAAUAACAGCUGCUAACUCAAGAUCAUGAGUUGGAUAGUUUUGUUCAUGAUUCCGGAGUGUUCUGGAAGCAUAAGCAAUGACCCGGUUGUUUUGCAUAAGCACACAACCAAGUCCGGUUCCGGAAGCAUCACAAUAGACAUCAAAAGGCUCGGUAUUAUCUGGCUGGGCCAAUACUAGAGCAGUGGUUAGAAGUUUUCUCAGUGUAUGAAAUGUUUUUUCACACUUAUCAUCCCAAUGGAAUUUAACCUCCUUCUUAAGUAACUCAGUCAUUGGCUUGGCUAUCUUGGAGAAGUCUGGAAUGAAUCGUUGAUAAUAUCCUGCCAAUCCAAGGAAACUGCGGAUUUGAUGGACUGAAGUUGUAGGUUUCCAAUCCAUAACUUCUUGAACUUUAGUUGGAUCAAUCGAUAUGCCUUUACUAGAGAUAGUAUAUCCUAGAAAUUUCACACUAUUAAGCCAGAACUCGCAUUUAGAGAAUUUAGCAUAAAGGCGGUGAUCACGUAGUCGUUGAAGAACGACACGUAAAUGAUCAACAUGAUCUUCUUCAGUCUUAGAGUAUAUCAGAAUAUCGUCAAUGAAAACCACGAUGAAUUUAUCAAGCUCCAGCAUGAAUACUGAAUUCAUAAGAUACAUGAAGUAUGCCGGUGCAUUAUUGAGUCCAAAAGAUAUAACCAGAUAUUCAUAAAGUCCAUAUCUGGUCGAGAAAGCCGUUUUUGGGAAUAUCACUAGGCUUGAUUUUGAUUUGAUGAUAACCAGAGCGUAGAUCAAUCUUAGAGAAGACUUUGGCUCCAGUUAAUUGGUCAAACAAAAUAUCAAUGCAGCGAAGAGGGUACUUAUUUUUGAUAGUGACCGCAUUGAGUGGACGAUAAUCGACACAUAGCCUUAAGCUAUUGUCCUUGUUCUUUACAAAUAGGGUGGGGCAUCCCCAAGGUGAAGCACUUGGGCGUAUAAAACCCUUCUCAAGAAGAUCUUGAAGUUGUAUCUUUAGCUCGGCCAGUUCAUUAGGCGGCAUACGAUAUGGCCUCUUGGAAACAGGAGCUGUACCAGGUUGGAGCUCAAUAAUGAACUCGAUGUCCCGAUCUGGUGGCAUUCCAGGCAAAUCGUCUGGAAAGACAUCGGGAUACUCACAGACUAUAGGAAUGUCUUCUAAUUUGAUGUCUGUGGUUGCAUAAACACAAGAGUAGAAGUACUCUUGUUGGGGUAGAUAGAGGAUAGUGGCUCCGUUAUAUGGUGAGUCAAUCUCAAUAACUCGGGAAGAGAUAUCUAACAGCACCUUAUGUUUUGUCAUCCAAUCCAUCCCAAGUAUGAUAUCCAUAUCCUGUAAAGGGAGUAAAACCAAAUCAGUUUUUAUUACCUUAUUACCCAACUGUAUUGGCACAUAUCUAAUCAGUUGAUUGGAACCAAUCUUUCCCCAGCGAUAGAGAUCAUGCACGACCCCUUGGUUUGACAAGAAUCAAGUCCCACUCGGGUACCACACUUGUCGCUAAUAAAGCUAUGGGUUGCACCGGAAUCAAAUAGGAUAAUAACGGGUUUAUAGUCGAUAGAAAAUGUACCCGUCAUUAUGGGGGCUCCUUCUGGAAGUUCUGCAAGGGUGGUGAAGUUGACUCGCCCUUGCCGAACUUGUAUCACUCACUUCUUGCCCUUGCCCUGAUUGUUCUGCCCUUGAAGAGGUUUCCUAGGCCAAGGACAAUCUUUGAUGAAGUGAUCCACACUCCCGCAGUUGAAACAGCGAUUAGUGCUGCUCUUCUGCUGAAAUUGUUGAACAUUUGGCCUUGGGCCAAACUGUUGCGGCUGUUGCGGAGGCACUGAAGGUCUAUACCCUCGUUGCUGUUGAGGCAGGUGGAAAACCAAUCUGCCAGGUGGAGCAUUCCGCUGCGGCGCUCUGAACUGCGCAUUGGGAACAACACGAUACCUCGAUGACUGAGCACUCGGGGGUCCAAUGGGGGUCUUCCAUUUCUUCUCGGCACGAUGUGCCGUAAUACAGUCCUCCUGGGUUAGGGCCAUAUUAACCAGCUCACUAAAAGUAUUAGCCUUAACAAGGUUCAGGCGUUCCUUGAGCUUGGUACUGAGGCCACGACGGAAACGAUCCUGUUUCUUGACAUCAUUGUUAGCGUGAUAGCCUGCAUAUUGGCACAGAUGAUUGAAAGUCUGUGCAUACUACAGUACCGUAUGGGUAACUUGGGUGAGUGCUAGGAAUUCAUUCAACUAACAUUCCAUCAGCCCUUCAGGAAUAUAAUGUGCCCUGAAGGCAUUCCAAAAUUCCUCCUAGGAGAUAACAUGUCCCGCGGGCUGCAUGGCGCAAAAAUUAUCCCACCAAAUGCGGGCAACACCACGAAGUUGCUGGGUGGCACAGUGAGCUUUACUCGAGUCCGCACAAGGUAUAGUAAGAAGGGCAAACUUCGAUUCAAUAGUAUGAAGCCAGGCAUCGGCAUCCAGAGGUUCUUCAGCUUUAUUGAAAAAUGGGGGCUGGGUACUGAAGAAAUCCUGAUAGCUUGCCACUUUGGGGUUGAGGUCAUCAUGACCUCCUCGUGAUUGCUGGUGAUGCUGGGUCUGUUGUGCCUAGACUAGUAGAUUGAGAAGCUCGGUCUGCCGAGCCAUAACCUCUGCUAGAUUUGGGGGUGGUGGUGGCGGUUGUUGGGAACCGCUAGCCUGGUCUGGCCUGAAACCUUCAGGAGUUCCACGCGUAGCGCCAACCAUCUGAAAAACAUAGAAGAUGUCCAUUACAUCAGGUUAUCCUUGCUUCCAUUUUCAGAAUAUACCGCACAAAAGAAAACAUAUAAAGAUAGUGCAACAAAUUGACAUCUCGAUAGAUAACUGAAUAGGAACUUGAGUUAUAGAUCAUAACUGGUGGUCUGUAUAUUACAUCUUGGUAAUCUAUCAAUUACCAUUCAACCAUACCUACUCCUGCCACAUAUAAUACAACAAGUGGCCCUUAAGUCAAACUAGAUUACUCACUCCCUAUGUCACACCAUACUACACUAAACACAUCUAGGAUAUCGACGACAAGGAUGAAUUAGAAGUCGUCGAGGUUGCCCACAGAAGACUGGCUGCCGGAAGAAGAAUGAUUGGGCUGAGGAUUAGGUUCUGGAUCUCCAUGUUCUGAAUCUAUCUCAGACACGCCUUCAAUUUUCUCGGGUUCUUCUUCUGAAUCUUCCUCUUCUUCUAGCUCAUUCGGCACAAGAGGAGGCAUUUGCUGUUCUUGGAGCAUCUCAAUAUGUCCAAGGCUGUCACCUAAUUCUUGGUUCAAGUCAUGAACUUGUUCCUGCAAAAAGUCAAUUACGGUGUUGUGCUGGAGAAUUUGAGCAUCACCCUCCAAGAUUUGCACCUCCAAAUGUCCAAUGGUAGUAUCUCUCCCAGCAAUUCCUUGACCAAGCGAAUGAAUCUGGUCGUCUUUCAGGGUAAGAUCCCUAUGAAAAUCCUGGGCCAGAUUCACCAUAUUGUCCAUACACCUUUGCUUAAGUGACUGGAGGUGAUACUAAGCGUUCAUAUACCUAAUCACUGCCCUAAGGGUCUCCUCAGCUAUAUCUCCAAUUAAACAUCCGAGAUAAGUUGUUCUGAAGGUCCACUCAGCAUCAUGCGCAAAAACUGCCGGAAAUAGUCCGAUAGGGUAAGCUGCUACCGCAUUCGGAUGCUAUUCACAAAAAGUGGUGAUAGCCUUGAGUGCUGCUGCUUCAAAAGCAUCCAUGAGAUGAUAUCCAACAACCUCUAUCUCAAUGGAUUGCCACUCAAGGGUAGGAUGCGGGGGAAUAGUGACAGUGGCACGGCAUCAAGGGACUCCGACCUCAGUAAACUCACAACCCUUAUACUGGGGUGGAUCCGGGUAGUGAUAGAUACGAAGUGUAUCCCACAGAAUUCUCGGAAACCCUUCCCAAUAUAGGCAAUCAGUGUGAGCAUAUCCCUCAGCAUCCCAAUAGAUCCUCCGAACAUCUGCCUUCUGAAUUAAAAGGAUUCAAAUGUUAGAUAGGAUAUAAAUUUCCUAAAGUUUGAAGAAGGCCAUGGGAAAAUGUGAGUCAAGUUCAUGGAAACGCUAGAAUGUAUCAUAGUAUCCAUCCGGCUAAGAGCUCACAAGAUAAAAGAAUGAGAUAUCUGAUUUCAGAUAAUAGCAAAGAGAGAACAUCAGAUGGAUACUAUAGAUCUUGAGGAUGCAUUGAAAGAUGCUAAGAUACUAACCCUAUAACUAUCCACAUGACCGUCUCAAGAUUGUACAAGAUUGCACUUGUGAAUAACCACACUCUAGGUAUCCUUAUGACAACAUAAGCACAAAUUCUAAUUUACAAACAAUAGUUCAAAGAUGCAUGCACAUACUACGUCCUCACCAACAAAAAUAACUGCCAAAUAUCUUUGGACUUACGUGGUUAGUUACGGAGGCAUAAUAUAGGUACGUCUCUCCCUAUAAUAUCUUGUCGACAAAUCCUAACCGUUCAGAACCUAUCGAUUCGUGGUUAGCGUACCUGCAGAAAACCAUAAUAUAUAUAUCCAAUGAACCUUUCAUGCCAGCAUGUCAUGAAAGCGUUCCCAAACAUUACUGUUCACUAUAGAAACAGCAUCUGUACAAUUACCACCGUACAGACAACGUUAACAUACGUUAUCGAAACAACGUAUUCGCGGGGGUACCGCAAAAUGCGGGGGUAUGAACAACGAUCACCAUACCCUGUGCCUAACCAUAUACUCCCAAUAUAACCAACCGAAGUUGAUAUAUUGGCAGCAUCUCAAGUAGGCCACUGCUUGAGAAACAACGUUCGGUUCACAUCACCGACGGGAAGGCUAACUCCCCAGUUAGCUGAGGAUCCUUACCUUCUUACCUCAUCGUCGAGGGUGUCGUUACACAAUGUAAAGUUGAUUGUGCAUAAAUUUAAGUUUUAACGAAAAAGUAAUGCUGGAAGUUAGAGUUAUAUAUAUACUAUAACCACCACUAACUCCCUUAUUAAACAUCACCCUAGAGCUUUACAUACUAAGCACAAUCCUUAACAAAACCAACGUAGUUUUGUAAAAUACGUUGUUGGUCCAAUUUUAUACUAAAAGUAUUUUUAAGGCAAUUCAUAUCUCCGGUGUACACUUGUUAGCUCUGAUACCAGCUGUGGCAGAACUAACCUGAAUUACACCGGCUCAAGUGCGCUGAUCCUUUCUCGGAAGGCAGUAAGUACUCAACCUCACUUCAAACGGUGUAAUCCCGUGGUCUGUUGGGUAAAGUCCCGAUAAAACCACCUAACUCAGGAUCAAGACAAGGUACCUCGCACGAAGGCGAGUCCAGAGAUACAAUCACCGAUAAUUUUACAUCACAGGCAUACUAUUAUAUUAGUAUUCAAACAUAUAGGGUAGCAAGACCUAACUAGUAUGAAUUUAUACAAAACUGUUCAAAGUUAGAGUAGGUGCAGCGAAAAAUAAAACACGACACUACCAGAUGUCGCGGAACGGAUAUUGAGCUAAGCCCAAGCUCAACAUCACUCGGAGGAACCUGUGUUGGCCGGGGAUGGAUCCCAUUCCACGGACCAACCAUCGGGAAGAGCAUAGGGCCAGGGCACAGGCAGAGCAGAGUUCUUAGGGGGAUUACCUGAAACGAAGGUCAUAUUGCAAGGCUGAGUAUUCUAAUACUCAGCAAGGCUUACCCAUUUCAUGGUAUACUUAGCCAUAUAGCUAGACUAUGAAGGCUAGUAAUGGUUCUAGGUAUAGUUUCAGUUGAAAAGCAAUAAAGAGUAGAUCCUUAAUUUCAACUUUUAGCUUUCAGGUUCUAGUUGGUUAUCCAUUCUAAGUAAGCAACUAUAGCUACUCAAGCAUGGUAGAACUUUUUCAACAAACAUCAUCUUUGAUCAUCAUCAGGUUGCUCUUAUUACUCUAUGUGGCAAAGGGAUCAAGCAGUCUCAAUCUCCGCGAGAAACAGACGAUUCUGAAUCGAAUUUCAAAACCUUGCAAGGGUAAACCUCUCACACGCUUGGAACAUCCAUUCCGAAGUGAAAGGAUCGAUGGACCAAGAGGGGGGUGAAUUGGGUCUUUUUCAAUUUCUAAAACAAGAUAAAGCAACCUUAACCUAUGCAAAACUAGAAAGGCACCAAUUCACCAACCGGAUAACUAAACAACCUACACAAGCUAGAUAAGAUAAAAAAGAGAUAAAGCCUAGCAAGGUAGAGCUAACUAGUCAUCCCUAAAUCAAGCACAUGAAUGAAUUGCAUGAAAGAUAAUGCUUGAAUAAGUAAAGUGGACAAGAGACAACCGGAUUUUUCCCGUGGUAUCGAUGUGUUGGCACACACCCCUAAUCCACGUUGUGACACUCACAAAGAGUAUUGUCACCUCCCAAGUCACCAAGACGAGGGCGCUCACUAAGAGUCUCCGUUCACCAUCCCGGUGUGGUGGAGAUCAAGCCACGUACAAGUCUCUUCUCCAGGCUUCCACAAUCCUUGGCAAGCUCCGCGAGAAUCACCUCGAUCACCAAGAUCGCCUAGGUGAUGCCAAUCACCAAGAGUAACAAGCUAAGGCCUUCACUUGAGCAAGAACCAAUCACCAAGAAUGGAUGCACACAAGCUUCUCUCUACUCAAGUCCUUAAUCUUGCUUCUUGAAUGAUUGAAUGAACAAGUGUAUGAAAUGUUGAAGCUCAAAGUGGCUCUUGACUAAAGUAUGUGUGUUUGGGUGUUGCCUGGUGUCAAGAGUAGUAGAAUGACCCAUUGGAGGGGUAUAUAUGGGCAGCUCACACGAAUAGAGCCGUUGGAGAAAAAGCUGCCAGAAAAACUGCGUAUCGCCGGUUAAUCCGACGUCCCUCCAAUAAUCAUCGUCGGUUUAACCGGUGAAUGUAAACUCCCCUUCUGAAAACUAGCCGUUACUGUUUGGGGAGAUUAACCGUCGUUGCAUCGGUUUGACCGGUGAAUGUAAUCAUCCAUUGAUCAACUGAAAAACCAAGUUACUGGACAACUGCACCGACGUCAAAUUUCAAAUAGCGUCGGUUUAACCGGUGAGUGUAGUUGUCCACUGAUCAACUGAAAACCGAGUCUCUGGACAACUGCACCGACAUCCAAUUUCAAAUAACGUCGGUUUAACCGGUGUAUGGACUUGUCCAGGCCUGCUGACUUCGUUUAACCGACGUAUAGAAAACUUUAGGCGUCGGUUAAACCGGUGUUAAGGAUUUUUCUGAUUUUGCCUUUUCUGACUUGCGUCUUGAAUGAAAUCCAAAUAUUCUUGAGAUAUAAGUUGAGAACCACUUAUUUGAGCUUCUAGAAACCUGAGUGACCAUUGUGUGCAUCCAUUUUCAAACGACCAUGUCCAUGCUCAAGUUACUAAGCCUAAACCCCUCUUAAUAGUGCGAUCACUACAAAACUAUAAAACCUAUACUAACCUAAGUGUCCUUCUCAACCUUAUGACACUUAGGACUAGAAAGAUCCUUAGUCUUGACAUAUUAUUGAGUUGAAUGCCGAGAUCGCCUUUUUGAAUAAUGAAAAUUUGGGGCCUCUUUUGACAUAUAACCAAGUGAGCGAUAAUGAUCUAUAAAGCUGCACAAACUCAUUAGUCACAAUAAUGGUUGUCAUUAAUCACCGAAACAUACCUUAAGGGCCUAGAUGCUUACAAUCUCCCCCUUUUUGGUGAUUGAUGACAACACAGACAUAAAUAACGAGAGAGCGAGAAAGAUAAGGCACGAAUAAACACAAGUAAACUCGAAAAGAGAGAGAAUCAAAGAACUCAAUGGCUCAAACAAAAUCCAUAGAUAUGUCUCAAAAGCUCAGCAUGCUCAAAUGACAAAUGUACAUAUCCAUGAACUAACACCAAAUAUAAUACAAUAAGAAACAUCAAAGGUCCUGAUCACGAGCUCUCUCUAGUGCUACCCUCCCCCUGACUCUCACUCCCUCUCCCCCUUUGGCAUCAAAGCACAAAAAAAAAA
rnacentral:lncRNA from 1 species